rnacentral:rRNA from 1 species
ACCAGACUCCUACGGGAGGCAGCAGUGGGGAAUAUUGGGCAAUGGACGCAAGCCUGACCCAGCAACGCCGCGUGAAGGAAGAAGGCUUUCGGGUUGUAAACUUCUUUUAAGAGGGAAGAGAAGAAGACGGUACCUCUUGAAUAAGCCACGGCUAACUACGUGCCAGCAGCCGCGGUAAUACGUAGGUGGCAAGCGUUGUCCGGAUUUACUGGGUGUAAAGGGCGUGCAGCCGGGCUGACAAGUCAGAUGUGAAAUCCCGCGGCUCAACCGCGGAACUGCAUUUGAAACUGUCAGUCUUGAGUACCGGAGAGGUCAUCGGAAUUCCUUGUGUAGCGGUGAAAUGCGUAGAUAUUAGGAGGAACACCAGUGGCGAAGGCGGCCUGCUGGACGACAACUGACGGUGAGGCGCGAAAGCGUGGGGAGCAAACAGGAUUAGAUACCCCCGUA